AGAGGAGGAACUGGGCUGGGGUAGAGAGACACAGGGAGGUGAUGGUGCUCUGCGUGCCUUCACCACGCACCUGGCAGUCCCUCCUGGGCAGGGCAAAGCCACCAGAACUGAACGUUUAUGGGCUGAUCCCUGCAGGAACCGUUCACCCCAGCAGAAAGUCCCUUUGCUGAGGUCACGGCACUCCCCUUGAGGAGCCGGCAGCAGCUGAGGGUUGCUUCUUUUUGCUGGUGUGAUUUACAUCCAUAGGAGCUGCCCCUGGAAGGUUUUUCAAUGUAAAGAAGAAUAGAGGGAGGGCUGAAAACGGAGGUGAACCCAGGGGAUGUGGGGGAGCAGCUGAGGGUAAUGAUGAGUGCUGAUGGGGAUGGGAUGGGGAGGGCAUUUCUGGCACAUUGGGAGCAGCUGCUGGGGGCUGGCAGUGCUCCCCUGCCCUGAGACCUGCAGCAGCACGGUGCUGAAGUAGCUGUGGUUCCUGAGGUCUGUGUGGUCCAGGCUCACUCUGUAGGAGAGAGGGGGAGAAAUCAGCUGCUCCUCGAGGAGAUCCGUCUCCAUCGCUCGUCCGGCUGCAUCCCUUCAUAAAUCUUCCCCAAAAAAACAUCAGCACCUUCUCAGGCUGCCAUCUGUUUAUUUGGUUGGACUUGGAACUUGCUGAAAUGUCUUUCGAUGGAUGAAGCAACGGAGAGUAGAAGAACAGAGCCUGGCAGGCUGCUUGCUGUGCCAGGGAACCACCAAGCUUCCUGGUACCCCGUGUUGGCUGAGAGGCAAUGAGGUUAAGGAAAGCAUAACUGCCAUCAGGAAUUCUUGUAAAGAAAAUCUCCUGGAUGGAAUCUGGAGAUCUGAAGACAUAUUUCUGCUCUCCUGGCCACCUAUGAACAGGAUGAUGGCGUUACAGCUGCCUGCGCAUCCUUGGGUGGAUCUUCAGUGUUCCUGAGCAGAUUUCACCUGUACUAUUGGUCUACCAUGUGUUUGGAAUUAGCGCCGCGGUUGCAGGGGGAGAAGGCAGCUGGGUUUCUCCGGAGCAUUUCAGUGCUUAAUCUCUGAAGAAUGCAGAAUGUCUGUCUGGAUGCCCCGGCCAAGAUCAACUCCGCGGCACGGGGAGGCCAAUAUAAACGUUCAUGUUUUGUGUCACC
rnacentral:lncRNA from 1 species